CUUUCUCAGCUUUUCCUGAAACAUCAGCUUUGUUAACUGUUUCCCCACAUCCUGUUUCUGACAAUAGCUGCCCUGAGAAUGCUUUCCAAAGGGUGGUCUGAACCACAAUGCGAAUUCAAAUCUGUACAAGGCAGGAAUGUAUGGGGAAUUUUGAAAUAAAUCAAUAAACAUGAAUGGAGCUCCUACUCUAUGCCAGGCACUGGGGUUACAACAAUGAAAACAGAAGUAGACACAGCCCUGUCCUUAAGAUGCCUCUCUCUGCGGACGCAUGUGUCUGUUCACCGGGGAAGAUACUUUGCAGCCCAAGCAGAAGUUGGGUUGACCAGCAUGGGCUGGGCAGCCUUUACUGUUGAAGGAAGAUCCUGAUGGGAGGAUCAAAGCUUGGAUUGUGCUGUGAUGUCUGAUCCAUAACCAACCUCCACCCACACCUCCCUCCUCCUUACACUGUUUCCUUUAUCCCCUCCUGACUUGCAGUGUUCUUCAAAUGCCUUCUCUUCUGGCCAAGUGGGAUCUAGAACUCCAACAUGGCACCGCUUUACUUACAGUGCCCUCAGCAGAGUCCCUGUCAGCCUCAGAUGGAAUAGUCUGGAGCUAGAGGUCUCUCUAAACAGCCAGGCUGCCGUGAGCAGGAUGUUUUGGUGUGUUUGCAUCAGCUUCCUGUUGCAGAGUUUAGGAAGCGAAUCUGCUAACUGCCUAAAUGAAAACACUUCCCCUUACUCUCUACGUCAAAGAGAAGUUACUUGAAAUGGAUGCCAACUUUUAGGAGUGAGGACAAAGCUCUGAAUUUUGAGGAGGCUUCACUGAAUAGGAAAAGAACUCGGCUUCACCAUCUGGACCUGGUUACACAACCAUCUUCACCUCAGUUUCCUCUUGAAUCAGAUGAGGAGAUUCUAUCUCCCUAACCCAGUGGUGAGACAGCAAUGAGAUAAUUUAAAUGAAGCAGCCAUUUCUCCUAGGCAGAAUCAGUUCUGUUUUGUAUACAUGCUAUGGACUAGGCCUCUUUGAAGUCUGUUUUGUGAGCUGCACCCAUGUGAUUCUUAUUUCUAGUCAAGC
rnacentral:lncRNA from 1 species